rnacentral:ncRNA from 1 species
GUCGCCGCCACGGUAAUUCAACUUAGUACGAGAGGAACCGUUGAUUCAGAUAAUUGGUUUUUGCGGCUGUCCGACCGGGCAGUGCCGCGAAGCUACCAUCUGCUGGAUUAUGGCUGAACGCCUCUAAGUCAGAAUCCAUGCCGGGACGCGGCGAUUCGCCCCCGCACAUCGUAGUCGGAUACGAAUAGGCCUCCAGGCCCUGGACCUUAGCGGGCCGGCAGUGGCGCCCGGGGGGAAGUCCCGGGCGCCAGCCGGCGGGUUGCAAUUUCACCAUGCGCGGGGAUAAAUCCUUUGCACACGACUUAACGGACCGGCCGGGUCCUGUAAGCGGUAGAGUAGCCUUGUUGUUACGAUCCGCUGAGGGUAAUCCCGACGCCGGCUAGAUUU